GUCGAACUCAGUAACGUGGGCUUAUCACCCAAGUUUGGGGGCAUUAUUGUGAUUGGACACGUCGUUUGACUGUCUAGCUGAACCGAUGGAUGCAAUUAACCGAAUUGCCCGUUCCAAGUGGUGAGUUGGGCCAUGUUACUCGGGCGAAGGCUUGAGCCACGUGCUAGUAAAGUGGAGGGCAACUCAUCAGGUUGGUUUGACAGAGCAGCGAAAACUUCCAACUCUCUAUAAUGGAAGGAUAACGGGUCGGUGCUUCUUCGGCCCACUUAAGAUAAAUGGGCUAGCCACUAUUGGACAAUCAUUUUU
rnacentral:SRP_RNA from 1 species